rnacentral:rRNA from 1 species
UACGUAGGGCGCAAGCGUUAUCCGGAAUUAUUGGGCGUAAAGAGCUCGUAGGCGGUUUGUCGCGUCUGCUGUGAAAAACCUAAGGCUCAACCUUGGGCUUGCAGUGGGUACGGGCAGACUAGAGUGCGGUAGGGGGUGACUGGAAUUCAGGUGUAGCGGUGAAAUGCGUAGAUAUCUGGAGGAACACCGGUGGCGAAGGCGGCAUUCUGGACCAUAACUGACACUGAGAGACGAAAGCCAGGGGAGCAAACGGG